rnacentral:rRNA from 1 species
GCGGUCCGGCCGGGAACUCAAAGGAGACUGCCAGUGAUAAACUGGAGGAAGGUGGGGAUGACGUCAAGUCAUCAUGGCCCUUACGACCAGGGCUACACACGUGCUACAAUGGCGCAUACAAAGAGAAGCGACCUCGCGAGAGCAAGCGGACCUCAUAAAGUGCGUCGUAGUCCGGAUUGGAGUCUGCAACUCGACUCCAUGAAGUCGGAAUCGCUAGUAAUCGUGGAUCAGAAUGCCACGGUGAAUACGUUCCCGGGCCUUGUACACACCGCCCGUCACACCAUGGGAGUGGGUUGCAAAAGAAGUAGGUAGCUUAACCUUCGGGAGGGCGCUUACCACUUUGUGAUUCAUGACUGGGGUGAAGUCGUAACAAGGUAACCGUAGGGGAACCUGCGGUUGGAUCACCUCCUU